GCCCCGCUGCUGCCGCUCCCGGCUCGGCUCGGGCCCCGCCGCUGCUCGCAGGGCCCGGGCGGCCUCGCCUCAGGCGCAGCCCCAGGGUGCGGCGCCGGGCCCGGCUCCUGCCGAGGCGGGCGGGAAGCCCCGCGCCUCACGGCCCCCAGAACCCGCCCUGCCCCGGUCAGGUUGGCCCCGGCCUCCACACGAGCUGCAGGUGGCAAGGGGAGCGUCCCCACGGAGCUUGCUGAAAGCCUGAAGCUACUCGACGCGUUUCCAGCCCUGCAGUUGGCAGCUGCAGCCGGCGCAGGGCAUUAAUUCCCCUUUCGGAGCUACAGUCCAGCCUUACGCCUCCGUGCACCAUUUAUAAAGGCUCAUUAACGUAAUGUGUCUUUUAAAGUGCCUAAAUGUGCCUCAGCAAAACUACUUGCUACUAGAAGGAGUGACUGCUGUACAAUAUAAACUCGACACCCACUUCUGUCUCUUCUGAGACAUGGUUGUAGGGAGAAGGCCUGAGCUGGCAUGCGGUUCAAAGGGGGGCAUCUCACAGGAGAAAGGGUAACCAACUGGGGAAGGAAAAAAAAAAAGGAAAAAAAAGAUUGGGGUCUAGAAAACUGGUUGAGGUAGGGGAAAACAAAUAAAUAAGAUUUAACCUAGGGAGAAGACAGAGGAGAAACACAGAACACUUGGCAGAAGUGUUUUGCUUUUUAAAUUCUGCAGAAGCUUAAAAAACAAAGUUGCAGGUUAAAGUUAAACAUGGGACAAUUCAUUCUACCAAAACUGGUUAUAUGCAUAAAAAAAAAAAAAAAAAAAAGGAUGAAGAAGAAUAUUUGUUCUCAAGUAGCUGAUCAGAGACACCUGCAUCAAAGUUAAUAGCGGUUUACCUGUAGAGGAGCAUUCAGAAGAGUUAAGGUGCAUCAGUCACAACAUACAUGGAAAUAUACUGGAUCUUCAUGCAGAAGAAGCAGUCCUAGGCAGAUGCAAACCAACUUUAGAUCACAAACAGCUUUGGACUUGAGUGAGAAAACCCACAUUAGAAUUCGAAUGAUCCUAACUGCUUUGUUUUAACUUCUCUGGAUGCCCUUUUGGUGGCAAGUCCUCUGCUUUUAAUUAACUCUGUUUUUCAUGUGUGUGUGCGCCAGUCAAGUGCAUACCAUAAUUGAGAGAAUGGUCUUGCUGGCAAAAAAACAGACCCAUGAAAACAGGCCAUAGAAACAAAAGACAAGAGGAAAUAGUCCCCCCUCUGUGUGUCCUUUGUCCUUGGUUUCAUAACAAGCAAUGGAGCUCCCUCCAACUCCAGGUUUCUGCUCACAGACUACAGUAUUUUGGCAAUGGCCAUUUGGCUUAGUUCUCAAAUUACUGAUUAAUCUUCUAAAUUUCUUCACAUCAGAAACCCUCCUAAAGGACCUUCAAAGGCAAUUGAAUUGUAACAGUGCCACAGCUGCAUCUUUUAUAACCAUGCUUUUGUCCCACAUAUCACCAGAAGAAUUCUUAAAACCUUACUUUAGAAACAGAAAAUGGAGGGAAUCAUUGAAUAAUGCCAAUAAAUCUCUCCCUCCCCCAGCCUCUUGGGUCUGAGAAUCCAAAGGACAAAGACAGUCACGUAACAUGGCGAGGCAUGAGAGCAACACCUAGUUAAAAAAUUACCUUAUUUUUGGUGUAGCAUGGUCACAGGAUGUGUAAUUUUAGGUCACCUACAGCUGUAUCAGCAUAGAGAUGAUCUAGAAAUGUUCUCUAUUCUGCAGAUGGUGCAGCAGCAGCAGCUCCUGAGGGCACAGAGAAGAAAUUUAGAGGGUAUUCAUGCAUGUGCCCUGGAAGGGGUCCUUCUCAGAAGGUGCAUGAUCUGCUACAGAGGAAAAUCUCAAAACAUAAAAUGAUUCUAAAUAAUUCAUCAGUUACUGUCCUGUAACCUGUGGUCCAGAUUGUGAAGCAUCCUUUUGUACAUUUGCAGUCUUCACACAAUCUGCAAAAGAAGAGAUGCAGAUCCAGCAGCAAAACCACCACAUCUGUCUCGCCAACAUACAGUGCAAGGCAUCCGCACCACAGUCGUCUGAAGAGGUCCCGUAACAAGGACAAGAGCAGCUGUUCAGAUGAACUGUCACCAGGCUAACUGCUGUCUGACGAACUGUUCGUCUGCAUACUUCCAAAUGCUGAUUGAUAAAUGAGUUUUCUAAGUCUUCAAAAAAUACAUGUGGAAAAUAAAUGUCAUUUACAAACCUUCUGCAAA